CCUACGGGUGGCAGCAGUGGGGAAUAUUGGACAAUGGGGGGAACCCUGAUCCAGCCAUGCCGCGUGUGUGAAGAAGGCCCUCGGGUUGUAAAGCACUUUCAGUGAGGAAGAACGCCUGGUGGUUAAUACCCAUCAGGAAAGACAUCACUCACAGAAGAAGCACCGGCUAACUCCGUGCCAGCAGCCGCGGUAAUACGGAGGGUGCGAGCGUUAAUCGGAAUUACUGGGCGUAAAGCGCGCGUAGGUGGCUUGAUAAGCCGGUUGUGAAAGCCCCGGGCUCAACCUGGGAACGGCAUCCGGAACUGUCAAGCUAGAGUGCAGGAGAGGAAGGUAGAAUUCCCGGUGUAGCGGUGAAAUGCGUAGAGAUCGGGAGGAAUACCAGUGGCGAAGGCGGCCUUCUGGACUGACACUGACACUGAGGUGCGAAAGCGUGGGUGGCAAACAGGAUUAGAUACCCUUGUAGUC
rnacentral:rRNA from 1 species